CCCCUAGCGACUAGGUUAUUCGAUCCUAAUUGUCAUCUUGUUUAAUAUGACAUAAUUGCCAUAUUUUUGUCCCUAGCGACCAGAUUAUUUGAUCCUAAUUGCCAUGUUGUUUACCACAUUUCAAUUGCCAUAUUGUUUGCCCCUAGCGACCAGGUUAUUUGAUCCUAAUUGCCGUGUUGUUUACCACCUUUUAAUCACCAUGUUGUUUGCUCUUAGCGACCAGAUUAUUUGAUCAUAAUUGCUUUGUCGUUUGCCACCAUACAAUUGCCUUUUUUUUUUGUCUUUACCGAUCAGAUUAUUUGAUCUAGUUGACAUGUUGUUUAUUAUUGCUCCAUUGCCGCUCUUAGGGACCAGAUUAUUCGAUCUAGGGCAUUUGUAGCGUCAGUUGUCAUGUUCGUCAGAACUUCUCAGGCCAGUGAAGAAAGUGGGGUUCAUGUGACAAGACUAAUUGUUCGGUUGUUUACCUUUGAGGACCAAUCAUGACAAAAGAGAAGAACUAAUCGCUAUAUGCUCAUUUUCAUCGAAGGAAAACACAGGUACAGCAUCGCCACCAAAAAACAUAAGAA
rnacentral:lncRNA from 1 species